rnacentral:rRNA from 1 species
UACAGAGGGGGCAAGCGUUAUUCGGAAUCACUGGGCGUAAAGCGCACGUAGGCGGAUUGUUAAGUCAGGGGUGAAAUCCUGGAGCUCAACUCCAGAACUGCCUUUGAUACUGGCGAUCUUGAGUCCGGGAGAGGUGAGUGGAACUGCGAGUGUAGAGGUGAAAUUCGUAGAUAUUCGCAAGAACACCAGUGGCGAAGGCGGCUCACUGGCCCGGUACUGACGCUGAGGUGCGAAAGCGUGGGGAGCAAACAGGG